rnacentral:rRNA from 1 species
UGAUCCCUGCCGGAGGCUACUGCUAUCGGGAUUCGAUUAAGCCAUGCGAGUCGAGAGGGUUCGGCCCUCGGCUGACGGCUCAGUAACACGUGGAUAACCUGCCCUCAGGUAGGGGAUAAUCUCGGGAAACUGAGGAUAAUACCCUAUAGACAUCCUUUGCUGGAAUGCUUGGAUGUUCAAAGGCAACGCCUGAGGAUGGGUCUGCGGCCUAUCAGGUAGUAGUGGGUGUAACGGACCCACUAGCCUACGACGGGUACGGGCCUUGAAAGAGGUAGCCCGGAGAUGGACUCUGAGACACGAGUCCAGGCCCUACGGGGUGCAGCAGGCGCGAAAACUUCGCAAUGCGGGAAGCCGUGACGAGGGAAUCCCGAGUGCUCAUACAAUGUAUGGGCUUUUCUGAUGUGUAAAAAGUAUUAGGAAUAAGGGCUGGGUAAGACCGGUGCCAGCCGCCGCGGUAAUACCGGCAGCUCUAGUGGUAGCCACUUUUAUUGGGCCUAAAGCGUCCGUAGCCGGUCAGGUAAAUCCUUGGGUAAAUCGUACAGCUUAACUGUGCGGCUUCCGGGGAGACUGCUUGACUUGGGACCGGGAGAGGUUGGGGGUACUCCUGGGGUAGGGGUGAAAUCCUGUAAUCCUAGGUGGACCACCGGUGGCGAAGGCGUCCAACCAGAACGGCUCCGACGGUGAGGGACGAAGGCUAGGGGCGCAAACCGGAUUAGAUACCCGGGUAGUCCUAGCUGUAAACGCUGCAGACUUGGUGUUGGAGAUCCUGCGAGGGUGUCCAGUGCCGGAGAGAAGUUGUUAAGUUUGCCGCCUGGGAAGUAUGGCCGCAAGGCUGAAACUUAAAGGAAUUGGCGGGGGAGCACCGCAACGGGAGGAGCGUGCGGUUUAAUUGGAUUCAACGCCGGAAAACUCACCGGGGGCGACGGUUAUAUGAAGGCCAGUUUGAAGACAUUGCCUGAUUUUCCGAGAGGUGGUGCAUGGCCGUCGUCAGUUCGUACCGCAAGGCGUUCUGUUAAGUCAGAUAACGAAC